CUUAGGCUUACUGAGGUUUUUUUUAGCAAAUCCCAGUCUUCCAGAUAAUUCCAAUGACACUAAUUAUUGUGCAUCACAGUCACAAUACGGUAAGCAUGCAUUUUACUGGAUAUUAAAUUGAAUCUCAUAAUUGAUCUCAAAACUUCAUAAAAUAUACCUACUUGCAGCAUACCCAUACUAGCAUACAUUGCAAUCUGCAGCUAGCUAGUAUUCCCAUGUUUUAUAGAUCCAGGAAGAAUAACAAUUUCUUCGCAGACAAAUAGUGAACCUGAGCUAAACUCAUCAGAUUUGACGCUGAGGCCCAGGGGUUUAACCAGUCAUUGCUGUAUCUGGAAGGAAAGUACUAAUCAUCAAUAAGGUAGAAUAAUAAUAUAUAACUAUAA